AGUGAACGCUGGCGGUAGGCCUAACACAUGCAAGUCGAACGGCAGCACAGGAGAGCUUGCUCUCUGGGUGGCGAGUGGCGGACGGGUGAGGAAUACAUCGGAAUCUACCUUUUCGUGGGGGAUAACGUAGGGAAACUUACGCUAAUACCGCAUACGACCUACGGGUGAAAGUGGGGGACCGCAAGGCCUCACGCGAUUAGAUGAGCCGAUGUCAGAUUAGCUAGUCGGCGGGGUAAUGGCCCACCAAGGCGACGAUCGGUAGCUGGUCUGAGAGGAUGAUCAGCCACACUGGAACUGAGACACGGUCCAGACUCCUACGGGAGGCAGCAGUGGGGAAUAUUGGACAAUGGGCGCAAGCCUGAUCCAGCCAUACCGCGUGGGUGAAGAAGGCCUUCGGGUUGUAAAGCCCUUUUGUUGGGAAAGAAAUCCUGUCGAUUAAUACUCGGUGGGGAUGACGGUACCCAAAGAAUAAGCACCGGCUAACUUCGUGCCAGCAGCCGCCGUAAUAC
rnacentral:rRNA from 1 species